UGAGGAAUAUUGGUCAAUGGGCGGGAGCCUGAACCAGCCAAGUCGCGUGAAGGAAGAAGGAUCUAUGGUUCGUAAACUUCUUUUGCAGGGGAAUAAAGUGCAGGACGUGUCCUGUUUUGUAUGUACCCUGAGAAUAAGGAUCGGCUAACUCCGUGCCAGCAGCCGCGGUAAUACGGAGGAUCCGAGCGUUAUCCGGAUUUAUUGGGUUUAAAGGGUGCGUAGGUGGUUUGAUAAGUCAGCGGUGAAAGUUUGCAGCUUAACUGUAAAAAUGCCGUUGAAACUGUCGGACUGGAGUGUAAAUGAGGUAGGCGGAAUGCGUGGUGUAGCGGUGAAAUGCAUAGAUAUCACGCAGAACUCCGAUUGCGAAGGCAGCUUACUAAGCUACAACUGACACUGAAGCACGAAAGCGUGGGGAUCAAACA
rnacentral:rRNA from 1 species